AAGAUCAAGAUUGUUGACCCAAAAACUGGAAAGGCAGUAGAUUUCGAUCAGAAAAUAGUGCUUGAUAAUGUUCCUGCAUUCUGCACGCAUUGUAAUCACCAAGGACAUAAUGUUAAAUCGUGUCGACGGAUUCAGCAAAUGGAACAGUAGCUAAUGCUACUGCUUCAAUUGGUAGCAGCAGUCUGUCUUAAUUAGAAGGCGAUGCAAGAGACUAUUUGAAUGCAAAAUAGGAAGGCCGUCGAACUGUUUUUCAUGAUGUACGACAGCUGAAGGUUUCGACCUCUGAUGUCCAAACUGCUCAAGUUAUUUCUCCUCCAAAUGAUCAAGGAUUGCAGGUUAAUGAAAGGCAAAACACAGCAGAGUUACACACCCCUCUAAAUGAUGUAACUCAUAACCAACCUGGAAAUGGAAUGUUACCUGUGAAACCUUAUGUGUCUUUUUCAGUAGGUGACACUGAUAAUACUUCUAACCUGAAUUUGGUAGAGGUUUGCAAGCUGCACAGGCUGAUCAAUUGGUUUCCUUCGAAGGACAAGUUGCCAAAUGCAAGAGGCAGAUGAUAGGAGGCCAAACAAACGAGUCUUCUAAUGCUCAAACUCUUCCAAAUCCAGAAAGGGAACAUGAACAGUGUAACAAUGACAAUGCAAAUUCUGGUAAAAUGGUUACAACUGCUGAAGGGAUGCUUGUGACUGCGGAUGUAAUUGUUUCUGGUCAAAUGGUUCCAGCUGCAGAAGCUACCUCAACACUGAACGAUGAUAUUGCACAGAAUUGUAAAAAUGUUUCUAUUGUUGCAUCCAAAUUGAGCAUUCCCAGUGAACAAGUGGUGUAUGCUGAUGUAAUUGUUUCUGGUCAAAUGGUUCCAGGUGCAGAAGCUACCUCAACACUGAACGAUGAUAUUGCACAGACUUGUAAAAAUGUUACUACUGUUGCAUCCAAAUUGAGCGAUACCAGUGAACAAGUGGUGUCAAAUUUGGCUGGGAUUAGUCCUAAUGUGAGUGAGGCUGCUGCAUCUACUGAGGCUGCACAUCACAAUGCAAAUAGGAGUCAACAUUUGCUGUCUGAAAAAAAAUGUUACUACUGUUGCAUCCAAAUUGAGCGAUACCAGUGAACAAGUGGUGUCAAAUUUGGCUGGGAUUAGUCCUAAUGUGAGUGAGGCUGCUGCAUCUACUGAGGUUGCACAUCACAAUGCAGAUAUGAGUCAACAUUUGUUGUUUGAACAGCAACUUUUGAUACACAAUAAUCUCACUAAACCUGCUACAAAUCAC
rnacentral:lncRNA from 1 species